rnacentral:rRNA from 1 species
ACUCCUACGGGAGGCAGCAGUGGGGAAUAUUGGACAAUGGGCGCAAGCCUGAUCCAGCCAUGCCGCGUGAGUGAUGAAGGCCCUAGGGUUGUAAAGCUCUUUCACCGGUGAAGAUAAUGACGGUAACCGGAGAAGAAGCCCCGGCUAACUUCGUGCCAGCAGCCGCGGUAAUACGAAGGGGGCUAGCGUUGUUCGGAUUUACUGGGCGUAAAGCGCACGUAGGCGGACUAUUAAGUCAGGGGUGAAAUCCCGGGGCUCAACCCCGGAACUGCCUUUGAUACUGGUAGUCUUGAGUUCGAGAGAGGUGAGUGGAAUUCCGAGUGUAGAGGUGAAAUUCGUAGAUAUUCGGAGGAACACCAGUGGCGAAGGCGGCUCACUGGCUCGAUACUGACGCUGAGGUGCGAAAGCGUGGGGAGCAAACAGGAUUAGAUACCCGAGUAGUCCCAU